rnacentral:rRNA from 1 species
AGCAGCAGCCGCGGGAAUACGAAGGGUGCAAGCGUUACUCGGAAUUACUGGGUGUAAAGCGUGCGUAGGUGGUGGUUUAAGUCCGUUGUGAAAGCCCUGGGCUCAACCUGGGAAUUGCAGUGGAUACUGGGUCACUAGAGUGUGGUAGAGGAUAGUGGAAUUUCCGGUGUAGCAGUGAAAUGCGUAGAGAUCGGAAGGAACAUCUGUGGCGAAGGCGACUAUCUGGGCCAACACUGACACUGAGGCACGAAAGCGUGGGGAGCAAACAGGAUUAGAUACCCGGGUAGUCCCUGUCUCUUAUAC